UACAGAGGGGGGCAAGCGUUGUUCGGAAUUACUGGGCGUAAAGGGCGCGUAGGCGGCAAUUCAAGUCAUCUGUGAAAUCUCCGGGCUUAACUCGGAACGGUCAGAUGAUACUGCUUUGCUCGAGUGCGGAAGGGGCAAUCGGAAUUCUUGGUGUAGCGGUGAAAUGCGUAGAUAUCAAGAGGAACACCUGAGGUGAAGACGGGUUGCUGGGCCGACACUGACGCUGAAGCGCGAAAGCCAGGGGAGCAAACGGG
rnacentral:rRNA from 1 species